GUUUCGCUUCGAAGAUUGUUUCAGAAGCUUUGGGCGGCGGGCGUCUCUGAGAGAAAUUAACACAGUCUCAUUCUGUCGCCCAGGCUGGAGUGCAGUGGCUCAAUGUCCAUUCACUGCGACCUCCACCUCCCAGGUUCAAGCGAUUCUCGUGCCUCAGCCUCCCGAGUAGCUGGGAUUACAGGAAUCUGGAAACUGUUCUUCAGGAAGAAACCCAUUAGUUUGGAACUGGAGAAUUCCUUUGCAUCAGAUACUAAAAUGAAAGAACCACUGUUAGGUGGUGAGUGUGACAAGGCAGUGGCAUCACAGCUGGGGCUGCUAGAUGAAAUUAAGACAGAACCCGACAAUGCUCAAGAGUAUUGUCAUAGGCAACAGUCCAGAACUCAAGAGAAUGAACUGAAAAUAAACGCUGUGUUUUCAGAGAGUGCUUCACAGUUGACUGCAGGCAUUCAGCUUUCUCUGGCAUCAUCUGGCAUGAAUAAAAUGCUUCCUUCAGUUUCAACCACAGCUAUUCAGGUUUCCUGUGCUGGUUGUAAAAAAAUUCUCCAGAAGGGGCAAACUGCUUAUCAGAGGAAAGGAUCUGCUCAACUUUUCUGCUCCAUACCAUGCAUCACUGAAUACAUUUCAUCUGCCAGUUCACCAGUUCCUUCUAAGAGAACUUGUUCAAACUGCUCAAAAGACAUUUUAAAUCCAAAGGAUGUGAUCAGUGUCCAGCUGGAAGACACUACCUCUUGCAAAACUUUUUGCAGCCUAUCUUGUCUUUCAUCAUAUGAAGAAAAAAGAAAACCAUUUGUUACCAUAUGUACUAAUAGCAUUUUGACCAAGUGCAGCAUGUGCCAGAAGACUGCUAUUAUUCAGUAUGAAGUAAAAUACCAAAAUGUGAAACAUAAUCUUUGCAGUAAUGCCUGCCUUUCAAAGUUUCACUCUGCUAACAACUUCAUCAUGAACUGCUGUGAGAACUGUGGCACUUACUGUUACACCAGCUCUAGUCUGUCCCACAUACUUCAGACGGAAGGACAGUCUCAUUACUUUAAUAGUUCAAAGAGUAUUACAGCAUAUAAGCAGAAACCUGCCAAACCACUUAUAUCUGUUCCUUGCAAACCAUUGAAGCCCUCAGAUGAAAUGAUUGAGACUACCAGUGAUUUGGGGAAGACAGAGCUUUUCUGCUCUAUUAAUUGUUUCUCUGCAUACAGUAAAGCUAAGAUGGAAUCUUCUUCAGUGUUGUUUCUGUGGUGCAUGAUACUUCAACAGAGCUUCUUUCUCCAAAGAAAGAUACGACUCCAGUUAUAAGCAAUAUAGUGUCAUUGGCAGACACCGAUGUUGCCUUGCCCAUCAUGAACACUGAUGUCUUACAAGAUACAGUUUCUUCAGUAACAGCAACAGCAGAUGUCAUUGUGGAUCUUUCUAAGAGUUCACCUAGUGAACCCAGUAGUGCUGUUGCUAGUAGUAGUAUGGAACAGCCAAGCAUUUCACCAUCUUCAUCAGUAUUCAGUCAGCAUGCAAUUGGUUCCAGUAUAGAAGUACAAAAAGACAAUAUGAAAUCUAUGAAAAUAAGUGAUGAACUAUGUCACCCAAAAUGUACAUCCAAAGUACAAAAAGUUAAAGGUAAAUCACGAAGUAUUAAAAAAUCUUGUUGUGCAGAUUUUGAGUGUUUGGAAAACAGUAAAAAAGAUGUGGCAUUCUGUUAUUCAUGCCAGUUGUUCUGCCAAAAAUAUUUUAGCUGUGGAAGAGAGUCAUUUGCAACCCACGGAACUUCUAAUUGGAAAAAAACCCUGGAAAAAUUCAGAAAGCAUGAAAAAAGUGAAAUGCAUUUGAAGUCAUUGGAAUUUUGGAGAGAAUACCAAUUUUGUGAUGGAGCUGUCAGUGACGAUUUAUCUAUUCAUUCGAAACAGAUUGAGGGAAAUAAAAAGUACCUAAAGCUUAUAAUUGAAAAUAUUUUAUUUCUUGGAAAGCAGUGUUUACCCUUAAGAGGAAACGACCAGUCAGUUUCAUCUGUGAAUAAAGGCAAUUUUUUAGAAUUGUUAGAAAUGAGAGCAAAAGAUAAAGGAGAAGAAACAUUUCGACUUAUGAAUUCACAAGUUGACUUCUAUAACAGUACACAAAUUCAAAGUGAUAUUAUCGAAAUAAUAAAGACUGAAAUGUUGCAGGAUAUUGUGAAUGAGAUCAAUGACUCCUCAGCGUUUUCAAUCAUAUGUGAUGAGACAACCAAUAGUGCCAUGAAAGAACAGCUUUCAAUUUGUGUAAGAUACCCACAAAAAUCAUCAAAGGCUAUCUUAAUUAAGGAAAGAUUCUUGGGUUUUGUUGAUACUGAGGAGAUGACUGGGACCCACUUACAUAGGACUAUCAAAACUUACCUGCAGCAAAUUGGAGUUGAUAUGGAUAAAAUACAUGGCCAGGCCUAUGAUAGCACCACUAAUUUGAGGAUAAAAUUUAAUAAAAUAGCAGCAGAAUUCAAGAAAGAAGAACCAAGAGCUUUAUACACACAUUGUUAUGCACACUUUUUGGAUUUAUCAAUAAUUAGGUUUUGUAAAGAAGUAAAAGAACUCCGAAGUGCUCUAAAAACUCUCAGUUCUUUGUUCAACACUAUUUGUAUGUCUGGGGAAAUGUUGGCAAAUUUUCGAAAUAUUUGUAGGCUAAGUCAAAACAAAACAUGCAAGAAACAUAUAUCACAAUCAUGUUGGACAGUCCAUGAUCGUACAUUACUAUCUGUGAUUGACAGUCUUCCAGAGAUUAUUGAAACAUUGGAAGUUAUAGCAAGCCAUUCUUCAAAUACAAGUUUCGCUGAUGAAUUGAGUCAUUUGCUGACAUUGGUUUCCAAAUUUGAAUUUGUCUUUUGUUUGAAAUUCCUGUAUCGAGUGCUGAGUGUUACAGGAAUUCUUUCCAAAGAGCUUCAAAAUAAAACCAUAGACAUUUUUUCUUUGUCUUCAAAAAUAGAAGCAAUUUUGGAAUGUUUAUCAUCUGAAAGAAAUGACGUAUACUUUAAAACAAUCUGGGAUGGAACAGAGGAAAUAUGUCAAAAAAUAACCUGUAAAGGUUUUAAAGUUGAAAAACCUUCUCUUC
rnacentral:sRNA from 1 species